AAUUUGGAGGUUGUGGAGUUGAGGCGCCUGAACAAGAAGCAGUAGCUUGGAAAGAGGAACCUUGCUUGCAGGCUUGCUUCUUUGGAGUCUCAAUCGGCUUCUCUUGCUAAGGUUUCUGAGGUAUAGCUUGAGCUAGAUCCCUUUCUCGAGGUCCAUGGUUUCAAAGGUGGUUUCAAUGUUUUGUACAGUGGAUGAAAAGCCAGAUUGGUGCUAAAGGUAUGCACACUGGAGGAAACAAGAAAAU